rnacentral:rRNA from 1 species
UACGUAGGGUGCGAGCGUUUAAUCGGAAUUACUGGGCGUAAAGCGUGCGUAGGCGGUUCUCCAAGUCCGUUGUGAAAGCCCCGGGCUCAACCUGGGAAUGGCAGUGGAAACUAGGGGACUGGAAUCUGGCAGAGGGGGGUGGAAUGCCGGCGUGUAGCAGUGAAAUGCGUAGAGAUGCGGCGGAACACCGAUGGCGGAAGGCAGCCCCCUGGGCUGAGAUUGACGCUCAGGCACGAAAGCGUGGGGAGCAAACAGG